rnacentral:rRNA from 1 species
CCUACGGGUGGCAGCAGUGAGGAAUAUUGGUCAAUGGGCGUAAGCCUGAACCAGCCAAGCCGCGUGAGGGAUGAAGGUUCUAUGGAUCGUAAACUUCUUUUAUAAGGGAAUAAUGUGUGGGACGUGUCCUUUUUUGUAUGUACCUUAUGAAUAAGGAUCGGCUAACUCCGUGCCAGCAGCCGCGGUAAUACGGAGGAUGCGAGCGUUAUCCGGAUUUAUUGGGGUUAAAGGGUGCGUAGGCGGCCUGUUAAGUCAGCGGGGAAAGUCUGUGGCUCAACCCUCGAAUUGCCGUUGAAACUGGGGGGCUUGAGUAUGUGUGAGGCAGGCGGAAUGCGUGGUGUAGCGGUGAAAUGCUUAGAUAUCACGCAGAACCCCGAUUGCGAAGGCAGCCUGCCGGGCCAUAACUGACGCUGAGGCACGAAAGCGUGGGGAUCAAACAGGAUUAGAUACCCCUGUAGUC